GUUGGCAAUCGAGCGAGACAGUUUCUUCGUAAUGACGUUUUGCUCAGAGCAGGGUGGAAAUAGAAUUGCUUACAUCGGGUUUCGAAACCUGAGUCCUGAUGAAGUGACAUUGGAAAAAGCGUUCAAAUCCUUCAACGAAACCGGCCUAGAUGCCAGUCAGCUUGUGAAAUGGAGUGCCGACAAUUGUUACUAGUAACUGUGGGAGCGCACGAACACAAUGGCACAUUCUUUUCUGGUGUAGGGUGUAAGGGGUAACAUCUAGUGUUGAAAGUAUUGUUCAAAAGGCAGAUUUUUACAGAUAUGGAUCGUUUGUAUAAAUAUAGGUUUCUGAGUCUAACUCAACAUAUAAACUGAGGCCAGAGGGGCUUGACUAAUUAUGCCAAGCCAUGCAUAUCAACACAAAUAUCAUUUUACACCAUGAAAAGUUUCAUUUAACGUUCCAUUGCUAAUGAGUAUCCCAUUUUUGAAAUACGGCACCAUGUAGUGUGGACUGUGUCACUGAUGCUUCGAAUGUCUUUACUGUCUCCAUCUUCAAGGUAAAGUGGAUAACAAAUGGCUCGUGGUGAUACUUGUAUAGCAUGGCACACGUAUAUUUCUUCACUACCCAUGGUGUUAAAUUUCUAAUUUUGUUAUACAUAAAAUCGAUAGGAGCCGCUCACAAUGUCAUGUCCAAAAAUUUGUUAAUUUUAUAAUUAUACUCAUGGUAAUUGUUAAAAGGCAAUAUUCUUGACUCCUCUGAUAUGAAGAAUAAACAAAUA